AUUGAACGCUGGCGGCAGGCUUAACACAUGCAAGUCGAGCGGGGAAAAGUAGCUUGCUACUUAACCUAGCGGCGGACGGGUGAGUAAUGCUUAGGAAUCUGCCUAUUAGUGGGGGACAACAUCUCGAAAGGGAUGCUAAUACCGCAUACGUCCUACGGGAGAAAGCAGGGGACCUUCGGGCCUUGCGCUAAUAGAUGAGCCUAAGUCGGAUUAGCUAGUUGGUGGGGUAAAGGCCUACCAAGGCGACGAUCUGUAGCGGGUCUGAGAGGAUGAUCCGCCACACUGGGACUGAGACACGGCCCAGACUCCUACGGGAGGCAGCAGUGGGGAAUAUUGGACAAUGGGGGGAACCCUGAUCCAGCCAUGCCGCGUGUGUGAAGAAGGCCUUUUGGUUGUAAAGCACUUUAAGCGAGGAGGAGGCUACCGAGAUUAAUACUCUUGGAUAGUGGACGUUACUCGCAGAAUAAGCACCGGCUAACUCUGUGCCAGCCGCCGCCGUAAGAC
rnacentral:rRNA from 1 species